ACAAUGGCGUAACAAAGGGAAGCGAACCCGUGAGGGGGAGGCAAAUCCCAAAAAUAAACGUCCCAGUUCGGACUGUAGUCUGCAACCCGACUACACGAAGCUGGAAUCGCUAGUAAUCGCGAAUCAGAAUGUCGCGGUGAAUACGUUCCCGGGUCUUGUACACACCGCCCGUCACACCAUGGGAGUCGGGAAUGCCCGAAGUCAGUGACCCAACCUUUGGAGGGAGCUGCCGAAGGCAGGUCUGAUAACUGGGGUGAAGUCGUAACAAGGUACC
rnacentral:rRNA from 1 species